GGCCCAGCUUUUGCUUAGCUAAUCACACAGGUAGCCAACGGCGGUUGCCCCACCUACGACAAAGACGUCGC
rnacentral:ncRNA from 1 species